GCCGGGCAUGGUGGCUCAUGCCUGUAAUCCCAACACUUUGGGAGGCCGAGGCAGGUGGAUCACCUGAGGUCAGGAGGUCGAGACCAGCCUGACCAACAUGGAGAAACCCUGUCUCCA
rnacentral:SRP_RNA from 1 species